ensembl:lncRNA
AUGGCAAAAGAAAACAAGACUGCACAUCCUCAAAGUGGCAGAAGGAGACAGAAAAUGACCUCCCUGCAGUUCUUGAUGAAUUCAGCUGCAGGACCUCAAAUAAAGAGGAUAAGCUUUUCUUUUCUUUUAUAUUUUUGUCUUCUCUUUUUAAAAAUAAGAAUGAAUCAUGCUGAGAGACAGUUCUCUACCAAGAGCUCUUCUACUGGAUGGAUUCCAACGGAAUGUCAACUCGAAAUCCGGGCUCACUGGGAAUUGUGACUGCCUUCUGGGGUGAGGCUCAGGUGAUCCUCCAGUCUUGGAUACCUACAGAGUCAGAGAUCUGCAGGCCAGCCACAGCCAGCCGGCCGGGGUUGUUAUCAGCGCUGCCGCCCGCAUUCUGCCUCCUCCCGCAUUCUGCCUCCUCCAGGGUGAGUAUCUAGGCAGCUUCCUGGGGAGACCUGGGUUCCCAUUUUUAUCACAAUGACAACAGCUAGUUUCUGGCACCCAAAGCAGGACCACAGCUUUAAAAACUACCUCCUCGAUAAUAGAGAAGAGAGAGGGAUAAAUACUUUAAAAUAAUGUUCCAGGACAAGAUGACCAACAGUUUUUGAGAAUGGAGGUUUUAGAAACUGAGCCAGGCACGGUGGCUCACACUUACACUCUCAGCACUUCGGGGAGCUGAGGUGGGAGGAUCACUUGAGCCCAGGAGUUCAAAAUCACCCUGGGCAACAGCAAGGCCUCAACUUUACUAAAAAAUUUAAAAGUAUUAUCCAGGCAUGGUGGCACACACCUGUCAUCUCAGUUACUCAGGAGGCUGAGGUGGGAGGAUCACUUGAACCCAGAAGGUCGAGGUUGCAGUGAGCUGAGAUUGCACCACUGCACUCCAGCCUGGGCAACAGAAUGAGACCUUGUUUUAAAAAAAUAAAAAAGAAAACAAUGAUUCCGUGUCACACCCAUUAGGACGGCUGUUCUGAAAGAGGCAGGGAAUAACACGUGUUGGCAAGCACGCAGAGAAGGCAGAAUCCUUGUGCACAGUUGGUGGGAAAGUAAAAUAGUGCAGCCACUGGGGAAAACAGUCUGAGGCUCCUCAAAAAAUUAGAGAGUUGCCAUAUGACCCAGCAAUUCCACUCCCAGGUAUAUACCUACAGGAACUAAAAGCACAGUCUUGGAAUUUAUUUUCUUUUUUUUUUUUGAGAUGGAGUCUCGCUCAGGUUGGAGUGCAGUAGCAAGAUCUCAGCUCACUAUAACCUCUGCCUCCUGAGUUCAACCGAUUCUCCUGCUUCAGCCUCCUGAGUAGCUGGGACUGCAGGUGUGUACCCCCAUGCCUGGCUAAUUUUUUGUAUUUUUAGUAGAGACAGGGUUUCACCAUGCUGGGCAGACUGGUCUCGAACUCCUGACCUCAGACGAUCCAUCUGCCUCAGUUUCCCAAAGUGCUGGGAUUACAAGUGCGAGCCACCACUCCUGACCUUGGAGAGAUUUGUGAACACCCGUAUUCACAGCAGCACGAUUCACAACAGCUAAAAUGUGGAAGCAACCCAAGUGUCCAUUGACAGAAAAAUGAGUCAACAAAAUGUGGUCAAUCCACGUAGUGGAAUAUUAUGCAGCCUUAAAAAGGAAGGAAAUCCUGACCCACGCUCCAACACAGAUGAGCCCUGAGGACAUUAUGCUCAGUGAAAUAAGCCAGGCAGGCACACACACACACACACACACACACACACACACACACACACACACACACAAAUACUGUACAACUGCACAUAUACAAGGUGCCUAGAGUAGCAGAUUCAUGGAGACAGAAAGUAGAAUGGUGGGUGCCAGGGCUGGGGGAGGAUGCAUGGCAAGUGUUGACUUAGCGUUUAAUGGGGACAGAAUUUCAGUUUGGAAAGAUAAAAAAUUCUGGAGGUGGAUGGUGGUGAUGGUUACAACACAAUAUGAAUAAAAAUGGUUUAAAUGGUGAUAUCAUGUAUAUUUUGCUGCAGUUAAAUAAGUCUGGCAGCCACUAGCACCUGUGUAGGGUGUCACCGUUGCCACCCUCCACCCAUGUGGAGCCCGCCUUGCAGAGGAGGAGCUAUGAAAGCAGACAGGUAGACGGGGCAGGUGCUGGGUGCAGGGUCCUCUGAUCCAUCUGUCUGCAGCCCAGGUGCCAUGUUCAGAAAGCCCAAGGUCACCAGGGGGACAGGCCCCUCCACACAGAGGCCUGCGGCUGCCAAGGCCUCACCCCUAGAGACACUGGGAACAUAGGAAGAGGUGUAACCUCACCUGAAAGCUGCCAGGGCUCAGAUGCACUUCAAAGGCAAGACUCCGGGGGAGGCCCCGGAGCAGGAAGAGGCGUGAAGAGGCUGAUCAUGUUCCACCAGAGUGAAAAGGGCACGCAGGGAGAGGCUGAUGGGUUCAUGGGGUUGGUAACUGUCUCCCUGGAAGUCCCAAGAGGGUGAGGUGAGCCCUCAGAGCUCAGGGGAGGUGAGUGAGAAGGGCCCCCCAAACCCCAAAAUCCAACAGCAGAAGCAGCAAUGCG